AGAGUUUGAUCAUGGCUCAGAUUGAACGUUGGCGGCAGGCCUAAUACAUGCAAGUCGAGCGGUAACAGAUCUAGCUUGCUAGAUGCUGACGAGCGGCGGACGGGUGAGUAACGCGUAGGAAUCUAUCCAGUAGCGGGGGAUAGCCCGGGGAAACCCGGAUUAAUACCGCAUACGCCCCACGGGGGAAAGGCCGGGAUCUUCGGACCGGUCACUAUUGGAGGAGCCUGCGUUAGAUUAGCUAGUUGGUAGGGUAAAGGCCUACCAAGGCAACGAUCUAUAGCUGUUCUGAGAGGAAGAUCAGCCACACUGGAACUGAGACACGGUCCAGACUCCUACGGGAGGCAGCAGUAGGGAAUAUUGUGCAAUGGGGGAAACCCUGACACAGCCAUGCCGCGUGUGUGAAGAAGGCCUUAGGGUUGUAAAGCACUUUCAGCGGGGAGGAAAAGUUGGUAGUUAAUAACUGCCAACCGUGACGUUACCCGCAGAAGAAGCACCGGCUAAUUCAGUGCCAGCAGCCGCGGUAAUACUGAAGGUGCAAGCGUUAAUCGGAAUUACUGGGCGUAAAGCGCGCGUAGGCGGCUUGGUCAGUUGGGUGUGAAAAUCCUGGGCUCAACCUGGGAACUGCAUUCAAAACUGCCAGACUAGAGUACAGUAGAGAGGGGUAGAAUUUCAGGUGUAGCGGUGAAAUGCGUAGAGAUCUGAAGGAAUACCAGUGGCGAAGGCGGCCCCUUGGACUGAUACUGACACUGAGGUGCGAAAGCGUGGGUAGCAAACAGGAUUAGAUACCCUGGUAGUCCACGCCGUAAACGAUGUCAACUAGCCGUUGGAAGACUUGAUCUUUUAGUGGCGCAGCUAACGCAAUAAGUUGACCGCCUGGGGAGUACGGCCGCAAGGUUAAAACUCAAAUGAAUUGACGGGGGCCCGCACAAGCGGUGGAGCAUGUGGUUUAAUUCGAUGCAACGCGAAGAACCUUACCAGGUCUUGACAUCCUGCGAAUUUUCUAGAGAUAGUUUGGUGCCUUCGGGAAUUCAGUGACAGGUGCUGCAUGGCUGUCGUCAGCUCGUGUCGUGAGAUGUUGGGUUAAGUCCCGUAACGAGCGCAACCCUUGUCCUUAGUUGCUAGCAGGUUAAGCUGAGAACUCUAAGGAGACUGCCGGUGACAAACCGGAGGAAGGUGGGGACGACGUCAAGUCAUCAUGGCCCUUACGACCUGGGCUACACACGUGCUACAAUGGGCAGUACAAACGGUCGCCAAGCCGCGAGGUGGAGCUAAUCCCAGAAAACUGUUCGUAGUCCGGAUUGGAGUCUGCAACUCGACUCCAUGAAGUCGGAAUCGCUAGUAAUCGUAAAUCAGAAUGUUACGGUGAAUACGUUCCCGGGCCUUGUACACACCGCCCGUCACACCAUGGGAGUGGGUUGCAAAAGAAGUGGGUAGACUAACCUUCGGGAGGUCGCUCACCACUUUGUGAUUCAUGACUGGGGUGAAGUCGUAACAAGGUA
rnacentral:rRNA from 1 species